GAUGAAGAACGUAGCGAAAUGCGAUAAGUUAUGUGAAUUGCAGAAUUCAGUGAAUCAUCGAAUCUUUGAACGCACAUUGCGCCCGCCAGUAUUCUGGCGGGCAUGCCUGUUCGAGCGUCAUUACAACCCUCAGGCCCCCGGGCCUGGCGUUGGGGAUCGGCGGAAGCCCCCUGCGGGCACAACGCCGUCCCCCAAAUACAGUGGCGGUCCCGCCGCAGCUUCCAUUGCGUAGUAGCUAACACCUCGCAACUGGAGAGCGGCGCGGCCACGCCGUAAAACACCCAACUUCUGAAUGUUGACCUCGAAUCAGGUAGGAAUACCCGCUGAACUUAAGCAUAUCAAUAAGCGGAGGA
rnacentral:misc_RNA from 1 species